rnacentral:rRNA from 1 species
UUUUGAAAGGGAAACGAUUGAAGCCAGUCGUACUGACGGAAAAUCAACUUUUCGGGUGUCUAUCGUAGGUGAUGUUGAGCCUCACGGUCUUCAUUGCUUAUGUGUUUGGUACCUUUGGAGUGCACUUUUUCGUAUGGUAGGUCAACAUCGAUUUUAAUCGUCAUAAAAUGAUUGGAGGAAUGUGGCUUCGAUUUCGGUCGGAGUGUUAUAGCCUUUGGUAGAUGUGACGAUUGGGAUCGAGGAUUGCAACGAAUACCCUUUGGGUUAUCCGUCUGGCCUCUGAAAGUCGCUUGGGUGCUGAAAGCUUGCUUAUAGUAUUCAAGUUGGCGGUCUGCAGGUUAGAACGUGAUUACAUUCGUUA